GUCAAGGUGGCAUAGUGGUUUGAGCAUUGAACUAUGACUCUGGAUACCAGGGUUUGAAUCCCUGCUCAGCCA
rnacentral:tRNA from 1 species